GGCUGUCUAGCUCAGUUGGUUAGAGCGUCGUGCUAAUAUCAAGUCUAGCUGUGUUGCUAUUGCGGGAAGGUCUUGGGUUCGACCCCCACGAUGGCGA